rnacentral:lncRNA from 1 species
UGGAGAAAUUAACAUCUUCUGUUUUGGGCACAAAAAUGUGGCUUUGUGAAUUCUUAGGAAAAGCCCUGGAAUAAUUGAGCUAUAAGAUCCAUGAAGACAAGACUUGGCACCAACCAUAAUGGUUAUUAGGUAGCACCAGAAAAAAACAAAUGAAAAACCUCUCAAAUUUACUAGCCAAAAUCCUCCAUGAAGGAAACCAUCACAGUAGUGGUAAAUUGGCUGUAAUAUUAAAUAAACAUGGGUGGGAAAACAUUUUUUGAAUAGCAGAGGAUGGGUAAUUCUUGCCUUCUCUGUAGCUAAUAUAAUUUUUUUUUUUUUUGAAAGGAAGUCUUGCUCUGUCGCCCAGGCUGGAGUGGAGUGCAGCGGUGUGAUCUCUGCUCACUGCAACCUGCGCCUCCCGGGUUCAAACAAUUCUCCUGGCUCAGCCUCCUGAGCAGCUGGGAUUACAGGUCUGCACUACCUUUAUGAGCUGUAAUACUCACCGGGAAGGUCUGCAGCUUCACUCCUGAAGCCAACAAGACCACCAACCCACUGGGAGGAACGAACAACUCCAGACCCGCCACCUUUAAGAGCUGUAACACUCACUGUGAAGGUCUACAGCUUCACUCCUGAAGUCAGCAAGACCACGAACCCACCAGAGGCGUGUUCCUUCAAAGAUGCAUUUCAGCUCUUCCAGAAUCAAGAUAUGGCUUCAAGUGCUUAAAUGAAACAUAAUUCUACAGUGAAUAAAUACUAUCUCACAGGAAAUACAUACUUUUUUUCCAGGAAACAAAAAAUUAGCAAAAUGAAGACAAUUAAUGAUUGCAUAAUUGACCUCUGAGGAGAACAGAGCAACAUUUGAGGAUAACAGAACAACCCCCUGAAAACCUAGGAGUCAAAUUAUACCUAAAC